rnacentral:rRNA from 1 species
CAAUAAAUCACAAUGCGGGACUAUCAGUCUUGCAAUUGGAUUGAGAACAAUGUACAACUCUUAUCGAUAAGCCAUUGGAGGGCAAGUCUGGUGCCAGCAGCCGCGGUAAUUCCAGCUCCAAUAGCGUAUAUUAACGUUGUUGCAGUUAAAAAGCUCGUAGUUGAAGUGUGGGUGAUCGCUAUUGUGAGACUUCGGUCUCUCGACAGUAAGUCACCCCCUUCCAGUAUCCAGUAGUGGGUAUUCAGUUCAGUUACUUACUAUUGUGUGUUGGUCGUUUACUGUGAGAAAAUUAGAGUGUUCAAAGCAGGCGUUUGCUUGAAUAGAUUAGCAUGGAAUAAUAAUUGAAGGCUUUCGUGUUCGAUUUGAUUGGUUUGUUCAUGGAAGCAAGGUUAAAAGGAACAGUUGGGGGUAUUCAUAUUCACUAGUUAGAGGUGAAAUUCUCGGAUUUAUGGAAGAUGAACA